ACAUAUUUAGCUUAUUGUUUGGGGGCUCUGGGUAAUCUUUAUGGAAUAGGGAAGAAAGGACUUAUAAAUAGGUCCCAGUGAGUCACAGAGAAUUACAUAGGCUCAAUGUAUUAUGAGAUCUGUGAGGUUUCCAUAUCGGUUUAGAAAGAUUGGAGAAAAUCAACUUCUAUUAACUGUUGGCAUGCCCAAGUGUCCCAUAAGUACCACUUGUAAAUCUUUCAAUGUGGCAGCACCUGACUUUUCUAGGUUUUAGCAGCAUCUCUGUUAAUUUUGUAUAUGAGACCAUAGGGUCCUUACUCGGUUCUGAGAUGCAGUCUUUGCCAAGCUUGUCCAGUUUGUCCUGCAGUUGCAAGCAAGAGCAUCAUCAAGCUGGACACUUUUACGACUUGGGCAACAGUGAGUGCACUUCUUAGGAAUGCCGGUUCAGGCCAGCCGGAUAACUGGUUUGAGAUUUAAAGCCUGAUUUAACUGCAGUGAAGGGUCCCCGUUACAAAUAAAGACAUGUAUAGAUUAGUCUUAAGCAGCAUGCGUAAGCCUUCAUCUCAGGUUGUCAGAAUUGCAUCCUGAGAAAACAGGUGCAAGGUGGGACAGUAUUUUAGAAAUGAAUGUAAUAAACUAUGGUGAUCACAGUCUGUAUCCUAUUAAAUAUGAACAGCCUAGUUAAUAUUGAUGUGAAAUUAUAAAUUAGUAAAUGAA
rnacentral:lncRNA from 1 species